GGGGCCGUGGCGAAAUGGCAGACGCGGGGGACUUAAAAUCCUCGGGAGCCGCGAGGCUCCGUCCCGGUUCGAGUCCGGGCGGCCCUA
rnacentral:tRNA from 1 species